rnacentral:rRNA from 1 species
UGAGGGAAUAUUGGGUCAAUGGGGCGCAAGCCUGAACCAGCCAAGUCGCGUGAGGGAAGACGGUCCUAUGGAUUGUAAACCUCUUUUGUCAGGGGGCAAGCGCGGGACGCGUCCCGUCGUUGAGAGUACCUGAAGAAAAGCAUCGGCUAACUCCGUGCCAGCAGCCGCGGUAAUACGGAGGAUGCGAGCGUUAUCCGGAUUUAUUGGGUUUAAAGGGAGCGUAGGCCGCCCCUUAAGCGUGUUGUGAAAUGCCGCGGCUCAACCGUGGCACUGCAGCGCGAACUGGGGGGCUUGAGUGCACGCAACGCAGGCGGAAUUCGUGGUGUAGCGGUGAAAUGCUUAGAUAUCACGAAGAACUCCGAUUGCGAAGGCAGCUUGCGGGAGUGCGACUGACGCUGAAGCUCGAAGGUGCGGGUAUCGAACAGGAUUAGAUACCCUGGUAGU